rnacentral:tRNA from 1 species
GCCACCUUAGCUCAGCGGUAGAGCAGCGCAUUCGUAACGCGCAGGCCGUGAGUUCGAAUCUCACAGGUGGCU